CUUAUGGGCUUCCCAGGCAAGAAUGAUGGGCUGACAGAAGGUAUGUUAAAUAUCUCCUCCUCUGACGGCAACACUGGGAGCCUGACCCUUUUGAAAGCGAAGGCUUAACAAGAGACCGGGGAGGUCAGCAAGAUGUAAUAUGUCACUACGAGUUAAGGGAGGGCUGAGAAGCUCCUAUGGAAAGUGAGGCAUUGGACCCACAGUCUGCACCGCAGGCAGGUUCUUACUGGUGGCCCCAUUCACAAAGCUUGAGGAAGAUGAGCAGGAGGAAGAGGGAGGAUCUGCAGCUCCUGUUAGACAGAAAACGGAGAGAAGUGGUCACAGAAAUGCCCACCAUUCAGUGCUCUCUAAGCAGCCACAGUAUCAGGCACGGACUGGAUUAGCUCUGGCUGCGGGUGAGCUCACUGGGCCAGUGAAGAGAGACCUCUAGUGGACACUUCCAGAACUUCCUCAAGAGUAAAAUCUAAUUUUCUGAGCCCCAACCGUUUUUAAUUACGGUAUUCUAGGAAUGGCAUCAAAGGCAAGGAUAUUUUCAGAGAGCGGACUGAGCUGGAAAAGAGGCAGGUCAGGUGAUCUUCACAUGAUGGUGCCCAGACCUGCAGGAACAGGAGCAGGCCUGAGAGAAGAGUAAACAUCCUGGCCUCGUGUGUGUGAGAGUGUGUGGGUAGAUGCUCGGCUGUUUCCCCCUAAACCACACUGAGUGGCCACUGUGGGCAGUUCGCUCAAACAAAACGUCAAAUUCAGAAAGCCUGCCAUCAAAAGCCAACACUUCACCGGCGCACUUACCCUGAUGUUACCAAACCAUGCGGACACACUCUGCCUCUGUGUAAUCCAGGAAAUAAACCCUGCUUUCAUUUCAGCAAGGACAAAGAUCGGACCACACAAAGUGCAUGCAGAGAUUUUGGCUUUUGCUGAAUCUCAUGCUAGCAUGCAUAAUACCACUGAAGUGCAGAAACUACAUUCACGUGGAAACUGUUGCAUCUCAGCUGUAAAUUUGUAUGACUUCUAUUAAACAAUGUCCAUCAAAAAGCAACAGUUUGCGAUUUAGGUUUAUUAUGAAAACCACAAAAAAAUUAAAAUUAAAAUUAAAGCCAAGAAUAUAAGUUUUGAAAUGUAGUUAUUUGGAGACCUCUCUGGUGGAAGAGUGUAAUUGCAUGCCAUAUGUUGUAACAUCAGUUGUGCUUUGGAUCCUUUCCCUGAGUGGAUGAAUCUGAUGAUGGCAAGCACACUGAGAGAAUAUUCAAUGAGAACUUAGUCAAAAUUGGUGAAGGACAUGUCUUCUGAAAAUGUAAGUAAAUUCUCUACUACUAACAUGAAGUACGUUAACUGUCUACU